CAGUCGCCACGGUAAUACGUAGGGUGCAAGCGUUAAUCGGAAUUACUGGGCGUAAAGCGUGCGCAGGCGGUUUGUUAAGACAGAUGUGAAAUCCCCGGGCUCAACCUGGGAACUGCAUUUGUGACUGGCAGGCUAGAGUAUGGCAGAGGGGGGUGGAAUUCCGCGUGUAGCAGUGAAAUGCGUAGAUAUGCGGAGGAACAGCGAUGGCGAAGGCAGCCCCCUGGGCCAAUACUGACGCUCAUGCACGAAAGCGUGGGGAGCAAACAGGAUUAGAUACCCCUGUAGUCCCUGUCUCUUAUAC
rnacentral:rRNA from 1 species